AGAUUAAGCCAUGCAUGUCUAAGUAUAAGCACUUAUACCGUGAAACUGCGAAUGGCUCAUUAAAUCAGUUAUCGUUUAUUUGAUAGUACCUUUACCUGGAUAACCGUGGUAAUUCUAGAGCUAAUACAUGCUAAAAACCCCGACUUCGGAAGGGGUGUAUUUAUUAGAUAAAAAACCAAUGCCCUUCGGGGCUCCUUGGUGAUUCAUAAUAACUUAACGAAUCGCAUGGCCUUGCGCCGGCGAUGGUUCAUUCAAAUUUCUGCCCUAUCAACUUUCGAUUGUAGGAUAGAGGCCUACAAUGGUCUUAACGGGUAACGGGGAAUUAGGGUUCUAUUCCGGAGAGGGAGCCUGAGAAACGGCUACCACAUCCAAGGAAGGCAGCAGGCGCGCAAAUUACCCAAUCCCGAUACGGGGAGGUAGUGACAAUAAAUACUGAUACGGGGCUCUUUCGGGUCUCGUAAUUGGAAUGAGUACAAUCUAAAUCCCUUAACGAGGAACAAUUGGAGGGCAAGUCUGGUGCCAGCAGCCGCGGUAAUUCCAGCUCCAAUAGCGUAUAUUAAAGUUGUUGCCGUUAAAAAGCUCGUAGUUGAACCUUGGCCCUGGCUGAUCUGUCCUCCUAAUCGAGCGCACGGAUUCGGUCGGGGCUUUCCUCCUGGGGAGCCCCAUGCCCUUCACUGGGUGUGGCGGGGAACCAGGACUUUUACCUUGAAAAAAUUAGAGUGUUCAAAGCAGGCCUUUGCUCGAAUACAUUAGCAUGGAAUAAUAGAAUAGGACAUCGGUUCUAUUUUGUUGGUUUCUAGGACCGCUGUAAUGAUUAAUAGGGACAGUCGGGGGCGUCAGUAUUCAAUUGUCAGAGGUGAAAUUCUUGGAUUUAUUGAAGACUAACUACUGCGAAAGCAUUCGCCAAGGAUGUUUUCAUUAAUCAGUGAACGAAAGUUAGGGGAUCGAAGACGAUCAGAUACCGUCGUAGUCUUAACCAUAAACUAUGCCGACUAGGGAUCGGACGGUGGUUUUUUAUGCCCCGUUCGGCACCUUACGAGAAAUCAAAGUUUUUGGGCUCGGGGGGGA
rnacentral:rRNA from 1 species